AUUUUUAAACGAAUCAGUUUUUUGUUUUUUUUAAAUUUUAUUUUGGCAAAGUCCAAGAAGUUCCUACGGUCUUAUCGCAGAACAUCACGAAUGAGCAUUUAGUUUUACCAAUUACAAGUUUCCAAAUACAUGCAAAGUAAAGUAAGUAAAUAAAACAAUGCUUUUUAAUUAGCAUAUUAAGUAUUGUUAAUUAAUUUUUUUUUUUUUUACAUUUUUUAUCUAUAUUUUUAUAACAUGAUCAAUUAAAAUGCACCAGAACAAAGUACUGGUGCAUUUUAAUUGUUCUCAGUAUAGAAUUUUAAUUUAAUAACCUAGGUUAAUAAAUUUCCAGUUGAGAGAGUUGAUAUAGUUGCAACAUUUUUAAAAAAAUUCUAAGCCUUCAUUGUUUCUUUAAUGUGCUAGAGAAACAAUGAAGUUAGUUUCUCUAAUGUGCUAUUGGUAAGAUAUUUUUAUUUUUUAUUUGUGAUCUCAAAUAUUUAUUGGAUAAAAUGUAAUAGUGUUUCAAAAUCACAAAUCUUUUUUUAAGUGAGAAGGUAUUUUUACAAAACUGCUAUGUCUUCUAAUGGGUUAUUCUAUAAUUUUUCUCUGCUUUUUAAAACUAUAUGCUUUUUUUUUUAAUUAUUUAUUUCAGAUUGUUGGCAACAUAGCCCAUUUAUUAAAGUCUUCUGUCACAGUUGACUCAGCAAGAAUUACCUUGACUUAAGACUUUGACAACCUUUUGCAUUAUGGAAUAAACAAGUUGGUAGUUUCUCGCCCACUGCCACCCAAAUACAGAUUUAAAAAACCUUAUGUGUACGUAACAGGCGUUGGAGACGAAGCGAUUAUAAUGUGUGGCAAAAGAUUAUUUGAUGAAUUUUUUCAUUCUCUGACGUCGUAAUUGAACUUAUUGGAAUACACUUGUCAUGGACAUGGAAGGAGCAUUGCCGCUAUAAGUAUGAACAAUUAAAAAGCAUUUCAAAGAAGAAUUUAUUUCAACGAUUAGAUUUGUGUUUAAAUGUAUAAAUGCUAUUUGAAUACCAUCUAAUUUCAAAA